GAUGAACGCUGGCGGCGUGCCUAAUACAUGCAAGUCGAGCGAACAGACGAGGAGCUUGCUCCUCUGACGUUAGCGGCGGACGGGUGAGUAACACGUGGAUAACCUACCUAUAAGACUGGGAUAACUUCUGGAAACCGGAGCUAAUACCGAAAAAUAUAUUGAACCGCAGGGUGCAAUAGUGAAAGACGGUUUUGCUGUCACUUAUAGAUCUAUCCGAGCCUCAUUAGCUAGUUGGUAAGGUAACGGUUUACCAAGGCAACGAGGCGUAGACGACCUGAGAGGGUGAUCGGCCACACGGGAACGGAGACACGGACCAGACUCCGACGGGAGGCAGCAGUAGGGAAUCUUCCGCGAUGGGCGAAAGCCUGACGGAGCAACGCCGGGUGAGUGAUGAAGGUCUUCGGACGGUAAAGCUCUGUUAUUAGGGAAGAACAAAUGUGUAAGUAACUGUGCACAUAUUGACGGUACCUGAUGAAAAAGCCACGGCUAACUACGUG
rnacentral:rRNA from 1 species